UACGAAGGGGGCUAGCGUUGUUCGGAAUCACUGGGCGUAAAGGGCGCGUAGGCGGCUUUAUAAGUCGGGGGUGAAAGCCUGUGGCUCAACCACAGAAUUGCCUUCGAUACUGUAGAGCUUGAGACCGGAAGAGGUAAGUGGAACUCCGAGUGUAGAGGUGAAAUUCGUAGAUAUUCGGAAGAACACCAGUGGCGAAGGCGGCUCACUGGCCCGUUACCGACGCUCAGGCGCGAUAGCGUGGGGAGCAAACAGG
rnacentral:rRNA from 1 species